UACGGGGGGGGCAAGCGUUGUUCGGAAUUACUGGGCGUAAAGGGCGCGUAGGCGGCCUACUAAGUCGGACGUGAAAUCCCUCGGCUCAACCGGGGAACUGCGUCCGAUACUGUCGGGCUAGAGUCCGGAAGAGGCGAGUGGAAUUCCCGGUGUAGCGGUGAAAUGCGCAGAUAUCGGGAGGAACACCAAUGGCGAAGGCAGCUCGCUGGGACGGUACUGACGCUGAGACGCGAAAGCGUGGGGAGCAAACAGG
rnacentral:rRNA from 1 species